rnacentral:lncRNA from 1 species
GAAUCGAAUUCCGCGUCCUCGCAAUACCCUAGAAAACCAGGUUUUAAAACUAUAAGUGUUGUUAUACGGGUUCUUGGUUUAUAAAUACAAGGUGAUCUGGUACAUAACUAGUUUAUCUACUCCAAAUAAAUCAACAAUUUCCCUAGAGUUAAACUGAUGAAAGUGAUGAAAUACUUCGUAGGAUUUCUUUCUUUCUAGAGGUGCAAACCAGAACCAAUUUGCUUUGAAUAAGAUUUCUUGCCAAACAAGUUUUCUGCGCCGUUUAUUUAAAAUUAUUAAAAUCAAGUUUGACCUUUAAAGUACAAAUAUAACACUUUCAAUUUCUAUUCAAGUUCCAGGUUUAUAACUAUAAAGGUUUAUCGAGUAUAUAACUAGUUUAUCGUUUCGAAGUAAAUUCAAAGAUUUACUUAGGGUGAAACUUGGCAAAAGUAGUAAAAAUGUUUCUUGUAGUUUUCCUUAUAAAAGGUAAUUAGUAUUAUUUUCUUGAGAUAAAUCGACAAACCACUUAAUAUCAAAACUAGAAAGAUACUUCGAAAGAUUUCUUUUAAGCUAUGGUUCUUGUAAAAAUUGUCACUAAAAACUAUUUUAUCUAAAAUAAAGUUUCUUGCUGAGCAAGUUUCUACAUUUUUAAUUAAAGCUAUUAAAACUCUUAUUUUGGAACUUUUCCUAUAGUUAACUAUCCAAGUGCAAAGCUUAAGGAAAGAAAAGGAAUUAAAAUAAGACUUAGAGUUUUCAAAAGCUAUAGAACUUAUUUACUAUAGCUAUCAAGGCUAGUUUGAGCUAGAGAGAAUUAUCGGGUUGGAAAGGUUUAGGCAAAACACUAGAUAUUGAGUUUUAUAAUAUAAUACUAGCUGGAAAAUAUUUGUUUGAGUACUUUGAUCACAGUUACUAGAGUUCGCAAGGUCGAAAAGACUUUCACAGUUUUUGAUUCCAUUUCGCAAUCAUAUUAUGGAUCAAAUAUGGCAAAAUCACAUAGCAAAUCACUAGGGUUUCGUCAAUCAUUAGCCCUAGAUUUCAACAAUUGCAUUUCUGAUAAAAAAUAAAUUGAACGACCAAGGCUUCAUCAAUCAUUAGCACUUGGUUUCAGCAAGCCCAUCAUAAGCAAAUAAAAAUAAAAGUAAGGCCUCCAAGACAUUCCAGCAAUUAACUUUCAUCAUCCAGUAGUACUUAUAAAGUCAUUCAAAUGGCCAAGGGCUUCAUCAUCAUUAGCUCUUGACAACCAAUACACACUUUCAAAUACCAAUUCAUUCAAAACAAGAACAAAAACUACAACCAACUUGAGAUCCAAAUGAUUCCAAGAAUCUAAAAUAUCCAUUAAACUUUCCACUUUUAUUUGCUAGAAUCACUAUACAUAUAGAUUAUAAUCUGUCCAAACCAAGCUAAAGUAAAUAAUACACAAAUCCAGCAAAUAAACUCACCAAAAGUCCCAACCAGUUCGGUCAUGCUGGAAAAAUAUUUUCCUUCAAAAAUUGCUUUAGUUCAUGUUCCACAAAUCAAACAGUUAUGAAAAUUAUACUGUUGUAGAAUAGAUUUUUAAUACUAUCACAUCCCAGAAGACACUUUUCAGAGAUUCAAAUCACAAAUGGGCCAAAUAUUCUAUCCAAGUCAAGAAUUCAGUUUCCUGAGGAAACAGGACAUUCAAACAGGACAGCCUACUUUGAGGAAUCACGGACAGCAGUACACAUGGAGGAAAAAUAUGAAAUUUCUACAAAACAAAGGCCCAUGACUCUAGUUUCAAAUGCCACUGACGGCACCUCAAUCGGAUUUUCCUACACCAAGAUAUAAGCAUUUUACUGAGACUGGUCAGAGAAAUCCGAAAAUCUGGAAACUCAUUUUUCACUUGUGAAAAACUCCUUUUCCUCUUUUAAAACCAUAAUACUCUUAUUCAAAUCAUCAUACAUUUAAGUAUGAUAUUCAUACCAGCAUAUACCAAAGCAAAUAACGCUUAAUUCCAAUAAAUUAUUCCACCAAAAAGUCCCCAUAAAUCUGUCAUCAGCUAAGAUAAAAUUUGCCAGCAAUUGAUAGUUUAUUUAUAUAGCUUUUGUUCCUAGUUUUCUUCAAUUCUUACCUCAGCUCAACAUGCAACAGGUGAUUAGCAAGCCUCAAGCAAAUCUUAAACAGCCAAUACGAAAAUCUGAAUUGAAAUUCGAAAACAAAACUAAUUAAAUGCUCACUUCCUUCUCUCGACCAAGCUGGAAUAUUUUGCAGCAGAAAAUUUCCCUCGGUUUCAAUCCACAAUUCAACUUUUCCUCAGAUUUUCCUCCAUUAAACUUCACUUAAUACUUAAAGCUAAUAAUCUAUAUGCAAUUUAUAACAAAAUUUUCCAUUUGACAGCAAUUACAAAUGCAAACAAACAUGAAGUCUCUCGGCUAUUCCAGAAAAUUUCCAGCAGCUAAGUUAGACGCAAAUCUGGAGUUUCUUCAGCUAAAACCUUGUAUUAGGUACUCAAAACCAACAUGCAUGACUAAUUAGUGGAAUUACUAUCAGCUCUGGUUUAAAUCAAGUUCGGACAGCAACUACUAUCAUCCACAAUUCCAGAAUUUUGUUCAACCAUUCUCGGAUGCUCUUGCAUGCAGCAAAUUCUUUUGUUACAUCCUUAUUUCUUGCUUAGCCGACUGAUUAACCUCAUGCAAGACUUAAUCAUCUGAUUUUUACUUAGCUAAUUACAUUUAUGAGCUCAGAUUGUUCAAAUAAGCAGAUUAAGGACUGCAUUUUCUGAACAGGCUCUCGGCAAAACCAUCUCCGUUAAAAUCAGAUUUCUUAUUCUUUGAUUUUAUCGUCAAGUGCUUAACCAUCACAUGCAAGCUCUUAAACAACUCAUUUAUCUCUAAUUAGCUAGUCUAGGACCAGAGUUUACCUCAGCUUAAGGUUUAGCUCACACGACAAUCAGCUGCAAAAUUUUCUUCCUCUCGGCUAUCCAGAAAUUGCAGCCCGCAAAUCUUCCUCCCCUUUGCUCAAACUUGCGGCUGGAUUGGAUGAAGUUUGGCUCUCAGAUCUCUCCAUCAACUCACGGACAAACCAGAAAAAUACUUCAGCUCGCGGUUUUCCUCCUUUUCUUUUCUUGUCGAUGAUACCGAAGCUACGUCCCUCUCACUCUCCUUUCCUUCGAUGGUCACGAGGUGGGGUGAAGUGAAGAUGAUUCGUGGGUGGAGGAGGUUGAGUUGUGCAGAGGAAAUGAGAUUUGGUGAAGAGUGGUAUCUCGGUAUCAAGAAAGAAAUGGUUUGCGGUUUUGUUUGUGCAGAGAAGGAAAGGAAGUUGCGGUUUGUGUUUGUGAUAUGAAAUGUG